rnacentral:rRNA from 1 species
GACGAACGCUGGCGGCGUGCCUAAUACAUGCAAGUCGAGCGCAGGAAACUGACGGAACUCUUCGGAGGGAAGGCAGCGGAAUGAGCGGCGGACGGGUGAGUAACACGUAAGGAACCUGCCUCAAGGAUUGGGAUAACUCCGAGAAAUCGGAGCUAAUACCGGAUAGUUCAACGGACCGCAUGGUCCGCUGAUGAAAGGCGCUCCGGCGUCACCUUGAGAUGGCCUUGCGGUGCAUUAGCUAGUUGGUGGGGUAACGGCCCACCAAGGCGACGAUGCAUAGACGACCUGAGAGGGUGAUCGGCCACACUGGGACUGAGACACGGCCCAGACUCCUACGGGAGGCAGCAGUAGGGAAUCUUCCACAAUGGACGAAAGUCUGAUGGAGCAACGCCGCGUGAGUGAUGAGGGUUUUCGGAUCGUAAAACCCUGUUGUAAGGGAAGAACACGUACGAGAGGAAAUGCUCGUACCUUGACGGUACCUUACGAGAAAGCCACGGCUAACUACGUGCCAGCCGCCGCCGUAA